GGAAUCUUCCGCAAUGGACGAAAGUCUGACGGAGCAACGCCGCGUGAGUGAAGAAGGUUUUCGGAUCGUAAAGCUCUGUUGGUUGAGACGAACGUGCAGUAUACGAAUAAUGUGCUGUAAUGACGGUAUCAAACUAGAAAGCCACGGCUAACUACGUGCCAGCAGCCGCGGUAAUACGUAGGUGGCAAGCGUUGUCCGGAAUUAUUGGGCGCAAAGGGAGCGCAGGUGGGAAUGUAAGUCAGUCUUAAAAGUGCGGGGCUCAACCCCGUGAUGGGACAGAAACUACAUUUCUUGAGUGCAGGAGAGGAAAGUGGAAUUCCUAGUGUAGCGGUGAAAUGCGUAGAUAUUAGGAGGAACACCAGUAGCGAAGGCGACUUUCUGGACUGUAACUGACACUGAGGCUCGAAAGCUAGGGGAGCGAACG
rnacentral:rRNA from 1 species